GUUGAACGCUGGCGGCAUGCUUAACACAUGCGAGUCGAACGCGAACGGGCUUCGGCCCAAGUAGAGUGGCGGACGGGUGAGUAAUGCGUGGGAAUCUACCCUCGAGCGGGGGACAACCCGGGGAAACCCGGGCUAAUACCGCAUACGUCCUACGGGAGAAAGCGGGCCUCUACACUAUGCUCGCACUCGAGGAUGAGCCCACGUCCGAUUAGCUAGUUGGUAGGGUAACGGCCUACCAAGGCCACGAUCGGUAGCUGGUCUGAGAGGAUGAUCAGCCACACUGGGACUGAGACACGGCCCAGACUCCUACGGGAGGCAGCAGUGGGGAAUAUUGGACAAUGGGCGCAAGCCUGAUCCAGCAAUGCCGCGUGUGUGAAGAAGGCCUGCGGGUUGUAAAGCACUUUCAGUGGGGAAGAACGGAUACGGGCCAAUACCCCGCAUCACUGACGUUACCCACAGAAGAAGCACCGGCUAAACUCCGUGCCAGCAGCCGCGGUAAU
rnacentral:rRNA from 1 species